UGCUACGCGGCACUAGCAUUUUGCUGUCCACGAGUCAAACGAGUUUUGAAAAAAAUGGUUGAAGAAUUGAUUUGUGAAUUUUUAUGUUUCUUGAGAAGUAAAUUUUCAGCUCUCCUUCUAUAUUCCGUUUAUCAUUGAAGACGCAUCUAUGAAGAUUUACAAACUUUACACAGCAGAACGAAGCAGACCAAAACCUUGCUCGAAUGAUUUUUUCAUUUUCAAAAGAAACUAGUUGUUUCAUUUUUUGUUCUUUGGUGGUUGCAAUUGGCUGAUGUAUUAAACGGCGGUAAUGGCAAGUACCUCUGGAUGACUGAAAAAUGUUCCUGUAAAAAUGAUUAAAAAUUCUUGUCAUCAUCCUGAGAUAGUCAGAUUUGUCAGUUUUGAAUAAGUAACUUAUCCAUUUAAUUACUGUUUGACUAUACCGAUUUGUAUUAACUUUAAACAAAAAUGUAAUUACUCUUUUUCAGUAUGAUAAUGAAAUUACACACAUAAGGUAUAGAUUCACUGGAAUAGAACAAAACGCGGUGAAUUAUACAAAUUUAUUCAUUUCGUAAUAAACAUGUUGUAUAUUGCAUGUAUAAAUCUACCCUCUAAUUGCGCUUAAAUAGCCAUCUUUCUGUCUUAAUAUAAAGAGUUUUUCUUAUUAUAUUUUUGCAGCCUGUUUUUGUCCGAUUUUUUACAACAAUCUGAUCAUUUGUUUGCCCUUAAAAAUAUCUUAAGAAAGUAAAAAGUUAUUACAAAUAAUAAGGUGGAAAUAAGGAAGUAGUAAUAAUAAUUUUAAAAGGCAGGAAAAAUACAAGGUAGGUUCAUCGUACGCAAUGAACAUAGUACAUACUAAAUACGCAUAUAACGUACUUUGUGCACGCUCAAGUUCUCCAUCGGUUAAUUGUUUUAAUCAAACAAUUAAUUUGUUAAUUUUAAUAUAUUUGUAUUAUUUUUACAAGAUGAAUUUUAUUUUAUUCUUCUUGUGUCCAUCUCGCAUCACGCUCUAGGGAUCAAAGUACUAAAUUUCAUCAAAGGCACAAAUAUUUCAGUAAUUGCUUUCCACCAACUUCCACUUUACUAACUAAUGUACUAGUAAUACUUUUUUCAACAGGAAAAUUUCUAAUUAUGUAUAAUUCGUUUUAAGUUAAAUGAUAUGUACAUCCUUUACUGUAAAACUGUUUGUAUUUUUCAACAUAAUACACAUUUUUCCUUCUUUCUUAAAUAAUUACAGUUGGCAAUACCAAAACAAUGUAUUCAAAAGUUAUGUUCUCAGCAGGUUAUUACAAAUUAAGAGACUAAAAUAUUUUCAUCGGUGCAUUUACAGCUACAAGUUUUAUUUAUUUUAAUCUUGUUAAUUUUAUUCCAAUACUAGGUAAAAAUUACUUAAAAAGAUCCUUGGAAAUAGAAAACUUGGCCUCUAUAGAAAAAGAAAUUACUAUGAAAAAUUGUUCAUUAUUGAAACAUGAAGAGGAUGUAUUAACUGAAUGCGUGUUAAUAUUUUUCAAAUGACAAGUACAAUGAGAAUUUGAUGCUUAAUGGGAAAACCCAAAUUUACAAAUAAAAUGCAUUUUCACGAUGCACACAACGUUAUGCAUACACAAAAUGUUUCAUUAAAGUCAAUAAAUAAGAGAUCAAUGUUAUUAAGUAUCUCAAUAUUUUAAAAACUUUCUUGUACUAAUAUGUUAGAAUUGAUAUCAAAAUGAUUGAAAAUAAAUUAACAAUUAUAUUA